CCGUAACUAUAACGGUCCUAAGGUAGCGAAAUUCCUUGUCGGGUAAGUUCCGACCUGCACGAAUGGCGUAAUGAUGGCCAGGCUGUCUCCACCCGAGACUCAGUGAAAUUGAACUCGCUGUGAAGAUGCAGUGUACCCGCGGCAAGACGGAAAGACCCCGUGAACCUUUACUAUAGCUUGACACUGAACAUUGAGCCUUGAUGUGUAGGAUAGGUGGGAGGCUUUGAAGUGUGGACGCCAGUCUGCAUGGAGCCGACCUUGAAAUACCACCCUUUAAUGUUUGAUGUUCUAACGUGGGCCCGUAAUCCGGGUUGCGGACAGUGUCUGGUGGGUAGUUUGACUGGGGCGGUCUCCUCCUAAAGAGUAACGGAGGAGCACGAAGGUUGGCUAAUCCUGGUCGGACAUCAGGAGGUUAGUGCAAUGGCAUAAGCCAGCUUGACUGCGAGCGUGACGGCGCGAGCAGGUGCGAAAGCAGGUCAUAGUGAUCCGGUGGUUCUGAAUGGAAGGGCCAUCGCUCAACGGAUAAAAGGUACUCCGGGGAUAACAGGCUGAUACCGCCCAAGAGUUCAUAUCGACGGCGGUGUUUGGCACCUCGAUGUCGGCUCAUCACAUCCUGGGGCUGAAGUAGGUCCCAAGGGUAUGGCUGUUCGCCAUUUAAAGUGGUACGCGAGCUGGGUUUAGAACGUCGUGAGACAGUUCGGUCCCUAUCUGCCGUGGGCGCUGGAGAACUGAGGGGGGCUGCUCCUAGUACGAGAGGACCGGAGUGGACGCAUCACUGGUGUUCGGGUUGUCAUGCCAAUGGCACUGCCCGGUAGCUAAAUGCGGAAGAGAUAAGUGCUGAAAGCAUCUAAGCACGAAACUUGCCCCGAGAUGAGUUCUCCCUGACCCUUUAAGGGUCCUGAAGGAACGUUGAAGACGACGACGUUGAUAGGCCGGGUGUGUAAGCGCAGCGAUGCGUUGAGCUAACCGGUACUAAUGAACCGUGAGGCUUAACCUUACAACGCCGAAG
rnacentral:rRNA from 1 species